rnacentral:rRNA from 1 species
UGAGUACGAGCUGCUAGGGCAGCGAAGUGGGUGAUGUCAAGCUUCCUAGAAAAGCCCUAUACCCGUUAAGGCAUCAUUGCCUGUACCCGAAACCGACACAGGUGGGGUGGUAGAGAAUACCGAGGGGCGCGAGGUAACUCUCUCUAAGGAACUCGGCAAAAUGGCCCCGUAACUUCGGGAGAAGGGGUGCCACCGCAAGGUGGUCGCAGUGAAGAGGCCCAGGCGACUGUUUACCAAAAACACAGGUCUCCGCUAAGUCGCAAGACGAUGUAUGGGGGCUGACGCCUGCCCAGUGCCGGAAGGUUAAGGAAGCUGGUCAGCGUAAGUGAAGCUAGCGACUGAAGCCCCGGUGAACGGCGGCCGUAACUAUAACGGUCCUAAGGUAGCGAAAUUCCUUGUCGGGUAAGUUCCGACCUGCACGAAUGGCGUAACGAUGGCCACACUGUCUCCACCCGAGACUCAGCGAAGUUGAAAUGUUUGCGAAGAUGCAAUCUACCCGCUGCUAGACGGAAAGACCCUGUGCACCUUUACUGUAGCUUUACAUUGGACUUUGACAAGAUCUGUGUAGGAUAGGUGGGAGGCGUUGAGGCGUGGCCGCUAGGUCGCGCGGAGCCGACGUUGAAAUACCACCCUGGUGUUGUCGAGGUUCUAACCUAGCUCCCGAAACGGGGGCGGGGACCGUGUAUGGCAGGCAGUUUGACUGGGGCGGUCUCCUCCCAAAGAGUAACGGAGGAGUGCGAAGGUACGCUUAGCGCGGUCGGCUAUCGCGCUGAAAGUGCAAUGGCAAAAGCGUGCUUAACUGCGAGACGGACAUGUCGAGCAGGUGCGAAAGCAGGUCAUAGUGAUCCGGUGGUUCUGUAUGGAAGGGCCAUCGCUCAACGGAUAAAAGGUACGCCGGGGAUAACAGGCUGAUUCCCCCCAAGAGUUUACAUCGACGGGGGAGUUUGGCACCUCGAUGUCGGCUCAUCACAUCCUGGGGCUGUAGCCGGUCCCAAGGGUAUGGCUGUUCGCCAUUUAAAGUGGUACGUGAGCUGGGUUUAAAACGUCGUGAGACAGUUUGGUCCCUAUCUGCAGUGGGCGUUGGAAGUUUGAGAGGGGCUGCUCCUAGUACGAGAGGACCGGAGUGGACGAACCUCUGCUGUACCGGUUGUCACGCCAGUGGCAUCGCCGGGUAGCUAUGUUCGGGAGAGAUAACCGCUGAAAGCAUCUAAGCGGGAAACUUGCCUCAAGAUGAGACUUCCCGGAGGGUUAACCUCCCUGAAGGGUCGUGGGAGACCACCACGUUGAUAGGUCGGGUGUGGAAGGUGAGUAAUCGCCGAAGCUAACCGAUACUAAUUGCCCGUGCGGCUUGAC